rnacentral:lncRNA from 1 species
AUGUUUCAACACUGUAAACACUAAAAUAUAUUUUAAACCCUUUUUGCUCCUUCAGAAAAUAUCGCAAGACUGUGCUUUUGCAGUGUCUCCCACCUAAGGAUGUGAGAGCCCUUCCAGACAUGAAUACACAGGGGAAAAGCAAAUGUCAUACUCACAAGACGAGCAAUGCCAGAAAUUUUUCAGGAAUUGCCAAAGCUCACAUAGCAGUACCAUGGUGGUAUACAGUACCUUCUUCAUGAUACUCUUUUUGAUAUCUACUCUUCACCUUAACCACAGCAGCUCAUAGAAGCACAUUCCUCUCUCCUUUCUGAGAAUUGAUUUAUCACCAUAAAGACGGUUUAUUAUACACCUUCUGCUGUAAAUCUUUCCUGCUCUAAUGGCUGAUAGAAGUCUGGCACCGCGGUGAGUUCCUGCUCAUUUACUCCCUGGAUAUCAGCAGCUGCAUUCACUGGGAACAAGGAAAUUGGCAAUGAGCUCAGAAGGUGCACGGGAGGCAACCCAAUUCCCACUGCAGCUGCAAAGGGACUUUGGGAAAAUUCCUGCAAGACACAUUGCAAUGGACUUCAUUAUUCAGAAGGAAGAUGUACAUCUCCUGAACCACAAGCAGAGUUGCUGCUCUCCUGGAGUCCUGCAUAACUUGGAACCUUAGGGUAAGAACAUGAAAGAAUGAACAACCACAAUGGAGAUAAUUUUCUGAAGAAAGCAGCAUGACUCUCGUGAAGUUAUGGACAUUCAUUUGCAGGAGCCUUAUUACCUGAUGUAAGCCAUUGUUAUCCUACUUCCUUCAAAGGUGCAUUAGUAGCUUACUUCAUUUUCACCAUCAGCUUAGAACUGCUCGUUGUUCACCACCGCUGCUGGAAAUACACACACUUCCCAAUGUCCAGACUUUUUAUGUACAAAGGUAAGUAUAUAAUGAAAACUAGAAGUUUAAAGAACAAUUAUCAACAAGAGAAAUUACAAAUUUGGCUAUUUUGAGUGUUCCAUCCAAAUGCUUAUUCAACAAUGUUUUUGUUCUUCCCCUCAAGUCUCCCUCCCCUUACACAUGUAUGUUGUGUGUGCCCUGCCCAAUAGCAUUGAAAACUGCAAACUCUUGACAGUCUGAGGGCUGACAGAGGGGGCAUCUGUUGUAUGUCGCAGCUUUUUUUUGAUGCCUGGUGAUAAUGUUGAUACAGAUACUUUGAUCUUUAAGCAGUUUGACUUCAUGGAAGAGAUUCUGACUGUGUGGAUGUCUAAAUAAGUUCCCUCAGCUCAUAAAUCUAAAUAAUUCUCAAACUCUCCUACUGGUUUUAUGAUCUCCUAAAUUAUACAGUCUGAAGUAUUUUUCAACUGUUCCACAUUUCUAGCCAAGUCUUUGGAGAUGGUGAAAACUGAGCCUUUAGUGUCCUGUUUCUAUUGCAGGAAGGGCACAAGCAGCUUUUGUAGGUCUGGGCAGAUGAAGAUGGUUUCCACCUGCUUUGUUCUUGGGCAGAUGUUUGUCAGGUUUAGAACCCAUUCUUCUUUUAUGCUUUUAUUAAAAACCUCUCCUCCACACAGGUAGAAGGGAAGGUAGGAAAAUGAAGCCUACUUGUGCUCUUGUUGAUAUCUUUUCAAGGUUGAUUUGAAUAAGGGACAGACUUUGUUGUUGUUGUUAUCACUGGAAUGCAAUAAUAAAAAAAAAUCAUUCUGAAC